rnacentral:rRNA from 2 species
GACGUAGGGGGCGAGCGUUGUCCGGAGUUACUGGGCGUAAAGGGCACGCAGGCGGUCGCGUACGUUUGGGGUGACAGGGGUCGGCUUCACUGACCCAGAACCUCGAAGACGGCGUGACUUGAGGCGUGGAGAGGGACCGAGAAUUCCGGGUGGAGUGGUGAAAUGCGUAGAGAUCCGGAGGAAUACCCAAGGCGAAGGCACGGUCCUGGCCACGACCUGACGCUGAGGUGCGAAAGCCAGGGGAGCGAACGGG